GAAACACUAAGAUGUUCUAGUACUGCUGAGCGUGUGUUGUUUUUAGCUGUGGAAGCCUACUUAUUUGGUGGCAAUUCACAGUGAGUUGUUAAAGCCCUGGAAGGAGUCCUGUGCAUGUCACCAUGCAGAGCAUCCAAGGAGCACCAUCUUCCUGGGAAAGACAUCAGACUUGAGAAGACACACACCAUUUUAACCUGGAUGCACAGAUACACAUCAUGCCCUAACGAAUCCUGCAGAUUUCUCAAUGACCCUGUGAUGGAAUGAGAUGAUGAGAAUGUGAUUCAGAACAAAGGAUCACUGAAUUUAGGGGAAGUCAACAGCAUCUACAUUGAAGCUACAAUAUCUCAUUUGGAAAACUGGAGGUCCUAGGUUAUUUAUAGACAUAUAUAUCUUGUAAUGAAGUGAUAGUUUU
rnacentral:lncRNA from 1 species